GGAAAAAACUAUCGUCUUAUAGUCGGAAAAAUACAGUAUUUCUGUUAAAUAUAGAAAGCAAAAGGAAAUGAAUGCAAGGAGAAAUUGGAUUCAAGCUACUUCCCCUCUUCCCCCCACUGUUAUGGGCUACUGCCAGAGAUGUAUGAACCUGUUGAAAUCCAGAUACCUGAAGUGAAGAGGCAUUUAUUAAGCUGGUGAGAACAAAGAUUGCCUGGUCCCGCCUGUGAAAGCAGAACAUUGCCAUGAAGUGAAGAAAGAUUAAUGUGAAGAAGCAGAGAAUACAAUCCUGGAGGCAGCUUUUCCACCUCAACAUGUUUCUUUCUGUUCAUUUCUCCACCCCAUCAACAUCAUUCUUCUUUGAUCAACCAAGCCCUUCAUUUUUGUUGUGCCUGAGAUUAUCACUGUCAUCACAAAAUUUGAAGGGAGAGAUGAAA